AUAAAUUUGAAAUUUCUGCACCACUUUCAGGUCACCAUGUGUAAGUAUAUUUUAUUCAGAAGUUCUUCACACAUCUCCGUUCCAUCAUUGCUCAAAUCAUCUCCUAUUCUCUUCAACGAUUGCACUUAACCACAACACAAAUCCGACCGCCAUGAACUCUUCGCCUGAAACACGCUUGAUAACGCCGUCCAUGUAUGCUUUUUGCAUCGUCUACUUAAUCGGUCUUGACAAGAAACGAUUGCAAGAAACACGAAGAUCGCUUCCUGCGAUCGUCGACGAGGGACCAGAAGCCGACCCGUGUCGGCGCGUUCCGCCGCGAAAAAAUCGGUUACACUUUUAUGGACGUCCCGAGCUGAGGGAGUUUCUUGCGGCACGCGGCUCGUUCCUGCACUCCGCGCGACCAGCUUCGUGCCACAACCACGCACUCCUCGCCUCUUGACAGCUUCGACAUCGAAUAAUUUGUACCGCGGGCUAAUUUACCGAUCGAGAAAAAGUCGAGCGGCUCCCUCUCGAGGGGAAGCGAUACACGCGAUUGCCAGUAGACUGAUUGCGAGGAUGUCACUGGGUGUUUCAAGGAGCAUGCAAAGAGAUCGAAAAACGUGUAAUUAAGCGAAGGAAGGAAACGUGGGGGUACGGAGGAUUCGCGAUGUCGAUUACUUAUAUCGUGUCGUAACGGGGUUUUCAAUGGUUUUGUGUUCGAUUGCCUGAUGUACGAGUGUGGAAUGAUUUGCGAUUGGUAACCUUCACUGCUUCUAACGGCAAUAUGUACUAUAUGUUUCUUUUUGUGACUAUGAAAUGGAGUGUAUGGAUAUGUAAAAAUUAUGUGAGUAGAAAUUGCAUCCAGCAAUUAGAGAAUCCGAGCCGUUAAGAAAUCUUUUCUCGAAUCGCUUCGUUUGAAAUAGUGUAAUAUGUGCUAUGAAAUGUGUGUACGUAUGUCUGGAUGUGUGAACGCUUUUGGAACUGGAUGGUUUAUCUACAUAUGUAAGAAGUUGAAGCGUCGUUUGAGUGCGCUGUUGUAGAAAACACGUUUGCGAAAGGAAGACACUUUCCGGACAACCUAAUAGACUCUUUCUUGGUCGACGGAAGAAAACACGUUAAAAUGAAGCAAACUACAAUAAAGAAGAGUUAUAGUAUUUUCAAAAAGAGACACGUUCGACAGCGGGAGAGGGCAACUUACGUAAUAUCAAGCACGCCAACUG